rnacentral:tRNA from 1 species
AGUCUUAUAUUCAAUACAAUGAUUAUAGAAUGCAAUUCUAUCGGAGUGAAGAAGGAUAAAGUAAUUCACUAAGACUU